UACGGAGGGGGCUAGCGUUAUUCGGAAUUAUUGGGCGUAAAGGGCGCGUAGGCGGCGUGGUAAGUCAAAGGUGAAAUCCCUCGGCUCAAGCGAGGAAUUGCCUUUGAAACUGCCUCGCUCGAGGCCGGGAGGGGGUAGCGGAAUUCCCAGUGUAGCGGUGAAAUGCGUAGAUAUUGGGAGGAACACCAGUGGCGAAGGCGGCUACGUCGACCGGUUCUGACGCUGAUGCGCGAACGCGUGGCGAGCAAACAGG
rnacentral:misc_RNA from 1 species